CCUGAACGCUGGCGGCGUGGCUAAGACAUGCAAGUCGCACGGGGCCCGCAAGGGUCCAGUGGCGGACGGGUGAGUAAUGAAUCGCUAAUGUACCCCGAUGUCUGGGAUAGCUGCCCGAAAGGGCAGGUAAUACCAGAUGAGACCACAGGCAGGCAUCUGCCGGUGCUCAAAGGGUCACCGCAUUGGGAGCAGGCGAUUUCGUAUCAGCUAGUUGGGA
rnacentral:rRNA from 1 species